ACGAAAAAUAACGAUACGGGACUCAUCCGAGGCCCCGUAAUCGGAAUGAGUACACUCUAAACCCUUUAACGAGGAUCAAUUGGAGGGCAAGUCUGGUGCCAGCAGCCGCGGUAAUUCCAGCUCCAAUAGCGUAUAUUAAAGUUGUUGCGGUUAAAAAGCUCGUAGUCGAAUUUGUGUCCCGCGCCGCCGGUUCAUCGCUCGCGGUGUCAACUGGCGUGUCCGCGGGACGUCCUGCCGGUGGGCUCAGCUCCCACGGGGGCGGCCCAAUCUCAAUCCCACCGCGGUGCUCUUCACCGAGUGUCGAGGUGGGCCGGCACGUUUACUUUGAACAAAUUAGAGUGCUUAAAGCAGGCUAAAACAUCGCCUGAAUACUGUGUGCAUGGAAUAAUGGAAUAGGACCUCGGUUCUAUUUUGUUGGUUUUCGGAACCCCGAGGUAAUGAUUAAUAGGAACGGAUGGGGGCAUUCGUAUUGCGACGUUAGAGGUGAAAUUCUUGGAUCGUCGCAAGACGGACAGAAGCGAAAGCAUUUGCCAAAAACGUUUUCAUUGAUCAAGAACGAAAGUUAGAGGUUCGAAGGCGAUCAGAUACCGCCCUAGUUCUAACCAUAAACGAUGCCAGCUAGCGAUCCGCCGACGUUCCUCCGAUGACUCGGCGGGCAGCUUCCGGGAAACCAAAGCUUUUGGGUUCUGGGGGAAGUAUGGUUGCAAAGCUGAAACUUAAAGGAAUUGACGGAAGGGCACCACCAGGAGUGGAGCCUGCGGCUUAAUUUGACUCAACACGGGAAACCUCACCAGGCCCGGACACCGGAAGGAUUGACAGAUUGAGAGC
rnacentral:rRNA from 1 species